UCCUACGGGGGGCUGCAGUGGGGAAUAUUGGACAAUGGGCGAAAGCCUGAUCCAGCCAUGCCGCGUGAGUGAUGAAGGCCCUAGGGUUGUAAAGCUCUUUCGACGGGGACGAUAAUGACGGUACCCGUAGAAGAAGCCCCGGCUAACUUCGUGCCAGCAGCCGCGGUAAUACGAAGGGGGCUAGCGUUGUUCGGAAUCACUGGGCGUAAAGCGCACGUAGGCGGAUUAUUAAGUCGGGGGUGAAAUCCCGAGGCUCAACCUCGGAACUGCCUUCGAUACUGGUAAUCUUCGAGUCCGGGAGAGGUGAGUGGAACUCCGAGUGUAGAGGUGAAAUUCGUAGAUAUUCGGAAGAACACCAGUGGCGAAGGCGGCUCACUGGCCCGGUACUGACGCUGAGGUGCGAAAGCGUGGGGAGCAAACAGGAUUAGAUACCCUAGUAGUCA
rnacentral:rRNA from 2 species